rnacentral:lncRNA from 1 species
GCAUUUGGAUAAUUAAGAUUCUUCCUGGGUGAAGAGCAACAGUCCCUUCUUUCUGAAUGACUGAAGAUUUAAGAGCUCUGCAUGCCCUGAACUACACUGUCCUGCGGUGAGGCUUUGUUUUCCCUUGUUCUGGUCCUGCUGGACCUAGAGAUUGGGGUGCGAAGGUGCUUAGGGUGCAACAAAGGAAAGAAUUGAGCAGGCCUGGACAAUGUCACCUCACCAAAGCGGGGGCAGAAGGCAGCAGAGGAAAGGUGCUUAGUGCAAGCCUAAGGAUCUUGUAAGCCUUUGUAGCCCGGACUCUGACCAGCCUGUUGUUUCUUUAACAUCCUGCAUUCAAGUAUUUGAUGCAAAUAUGAUUGCCUCUAGGCAAGAGAAUAUAAAUAUUUGCCGAAUGUAUAA